UACGUAGGGGGCAAGCGUUGUCCGGAUUUAUUGGGCGUAAAGAGCGUGUAGGCGGCUUGGCAAGUCCGCUGUGAAAACUCGAGGCUUAACCUCGAGACGUCGGUGGAAACUGCCUGGCUAGAGUCCGGAAGAGGAGUGUGGAAUUCCUGGUGUAGCGGUGAAGUGCGCAGAUAUCAGGAAGAACACCUAUGGCGAAGGCAGCACUCUGGGACGGUACUGACGCUGAGACGCGAAAGCGUGGGGAGCGAACAGG
rnacentral:rRNA from 1 species